rnacentral:rRNA from 1 species
UUUCGCAAUGCCCGAAAGGGUGACGAAGCGACGCCGCGUGUGGGAAGAAGGCCUUCGGGUUGUAAACCACUGUCGGGAGUUAGGAAAUGUAAGGGUGCUAAUAGUAUCCUUGCUUGACUAAGGCUCCGGAGGAAGCCACGGCUAACUCUGUGCCAGCAGCCGCGGUAAUACAGAGGCGGCAAGCGUUGUUCGGAAUUAUUGGGCGUAAAGAGCACGUAGGCGGCCUUGUAAGUCAGUUGUGAAAGCCUUCUGCUUAACGGAAGAACAGCAGCUGAUACUGCAAGGCUAGAGUGCGGAAGGGGAGAGUGGAACUUCUGGUGGAGCGGUGAAAUGCGUAGAUAUCAGAAGGAACACCGGCGGCGAAGGCGACUCUCUGGCCCGUAACUGACGCUGAGUGUGCGAAAGCUAGGGGAGCAAACGGGAUUAGAUACCCCGGUAGUCCUAGCCGUAAACGAUGGGCACUAAGUAGAGGGGUUUUA